CGGGAUGUGGCGCAGUUGGUAGCGUACCUGCUUUGGGAGCAGGGGGUCGCUGGUUCAAAUCCAGUCAUCCCGACCA
rnacentral:tRNA from 1 species